GAUGAACGCUGGCGGCGUGCCUAAUACAUGCAAGUCGAGCGAACAGACGAGGAGCUUGCUCCUCUGACGUUAGCGGCGGACGGGUGAGUAACACGUGGAUAACCUACCUAUAAGACUGGGAUAACUUCGGGAAACCGGAGCUAAUACCGGAUAAUAUAUUGAACCGCAUGGUUCAAUAGUGAAAGACGGUUUUGCUGUCACUUAUAGAUGGAUCCGCGCCGCAUUAGCUAGUUGGUAAGGUAACGGCUUACCAAGGCAACGAUGCGUAGCCGACCUGAGAGGGUGAUCGGCCACACUGGAACUGAGACACGGCCCAGACUCCUACGGGAGGCAGCAGUAGGGAAUCUUCGGAAAUGGGCGAAAGCCUGACGGAGCAACGCCGCGUGAGUGAUGAAGGUCUUCGGAUCGUAAAACUCUGUUAUUAGGGAAGAACAAAUGUGUAAGUAACUAUGCACGUCUUGACGGUACCUAAUCAGAAAGCCACGGCUAACUACGUG
rnacentral:rRNA from 1 species